rnacentral:lncRNA from 1 species
UGAUGCAUGUCACCUUCCUGCAAGGCAACCAGUUUACAGAUCUGGCCAGAGGGAAAAUUACUGGGCAACAGAAUAAAAAGGAGGCAUAAGUCAGCUCAGCUCUCUGAACCCUGGAAAAGGCAACUUCCCUCCAGCUCAUGAAAGAGGACGAUUGUGCUCAGUACCACUUAUCCAGUGCCAACAAUCUGACAACAACAGAGAUCUUCUUUCUCCCAGGAAUGGCCAUGUGAUAGAUUCUGACUGAAAGGGUGUAUUCAUAGAAGGCAUUCUAAUACAGUAUGGAUUCAAUAGAGCAAGCUUUCCCACUGAGCAUAGUUGGGCAAGUAUUAGGUGAUUUUCUGAAUUUUAUGUUUGGGUUUUGGUAUGUCCUUUUCCUUCUCCUUAAUAUCUGUUCUCAAAUGAGCAGUGAGGAAUCACUUUUAGGGCUAGAAGAGCUCUGAUAUAUUUAACAGACGCUAGAACUCAUGUCUAGGACACCAGUUCAGAUCCAAAGAUAAAUGGUUCUCUCCUCUUCUAACCUAUGACUUUAAGCAGUAAGAGCAGACCAAUAUCUUUAAACUAGUAUAUUGUACCAUAAAACCAUUCUUUCCUAUUUUGAUUUAAAGGUGCUGGUGAGGAAUCAACUAAGAUUGUUACAACUGAGAACUAGCAGAGCAGUAACCAUCACUCACUCCAGUGACACAUGGUGUGUCUCUUGUGCUUAUAGAAGCAGGACAGCUGGAUAUAAGCAACCAGAUGGGGUGGGAGAGCAUACAUUCCUUUAAAAAAUCUUUUGAAAUUUGAGAAUGGUAGAUUUCAGGUGAGAACCAAAAAGUAGCUGACAGCUAGAAGUAGCUGACAAAGAAGAAAGAUUAUGAUCUAAGUUUGGACUAAAUUAAAAUGAUCAGAAAGAAAGCCCAAAUGAGUCAAUGGCUGAACACUGGAAGGGAAAAGACUCAAAUGCCAAACAUAUCAAACUUGAAGACCAGAGGACCCUGGACAGUAGGGACCCUUGGGGAGUUCUGCGUGCUCAGGGGAAACCUGGAGAACACUGCUGGGAAUUGCACUGAAGAAGAAACAUUUGAAUGGGAGGCUGAUUGUUGGAGUAGAUUCCAAUUAUGA